GUGAACGCUGGCGGUAGGCCUCACAUAUGCAAGUCGAACGGCAGCACAGUAAGAGCUUGCUCUUACGGGUGGCGAGUGGCGGACGGGUGAGGAAUACAUCGGAAUCUACUUUUUCGUGGGGGAUAACGUAGGGAAACUUACGCUAAUACCGCAUACGACCUACGGGUGAAAGCAGGGGAUCUUCGGACCUUGCGCGAUUGAAUGAGCCGAUGUCGGAUUAGCUAGUUGGCGGGGUAAAGGCCCACCAAGGCGACGAUCCGUAGCUGGUCUGAGAGGAUGAUCAGCCACACUGGAACUGAGACACGGUCCAGACUCCUACGGGAGGCAGCAGUGGGGAAUAUUGGACAAUGGGCGCAAGCCUGAUCCAGCCAUACCGCGUGGGUGAAGAAGGCCUUCGGGUUGUAAAGCCCUUUUGUUGGGAAAGAAAAGCAGCAGGUUAAUACCCCGCUGUUCUGACGGUACCCAAAGAAUAAGCACCGGCUAACUUCGUG
rnacentral:rRNA from 1 species